UACAGAGACUGCAAGCGUUAUUCGGAUUCACUGGGCGUAAAGGGUGCGCAGGCGGUCGUGUGUGUCAGAUGUGAAAUCCCGGAGCUUAACUCCGGAACUGCGUCUGAAACUACACGACUAGAGCAUUGAAGAGGGAAGUGGAAUUCAUGGUGUAGCAGUGAAAUGCGUAGAUAUCAUGAGGAACACCAGAGGCGAAGGCGACUUCCUGGACAAUUGCUGACGCUCAGGCACGAAAGCAUGGGGAGCAAAAGGG
rnacentral:rRNA from 1 species